rnacentral:lncRNA from 1 species
CCCUUUUUUUCCACUGAACAACUGAGUCGAAACUGUGACAAACAUCACAACAGCUUCAGUUCUACUUGUAACUUUGCUCACUACUCCAGAAGCGCAGACACACUGUUGACUGUGACACAUGUGUUAACUGUGGGAGUGUUGAUGGGGUCGAAACCCUAGCGUGACCUUCGCCUUGUGGGGAGUAGGAACCAAACCUGCCUGGAUUUUCUUUUUUUUUUUUUUUUUUUUUCUUUUCAGUUGUACAUACUUCACUAGAGGGCACCAGUAACACAAUAUAGCUCUGAGUAGCAGUGGGGUCAACUUUGGUUCCAACUCAAAAUGUUAACAUUACUAGAAAUGUUGUUACCCAGUACUGAUCAGUUCAAAAAUGACUCCAUAAUACCUUGUAAGUGCUUGUUACAGCAGGCUGACAAAAUAUACAAAUACUGCUAAAAAUAAGCAAAAUAACUAGGCACUGAUGGGACAGACAGGGCUACACAUGUGGAACAAAAAUUUUGCUAGGAGUCAAUUUUGAGUUCCCGAUUAUGUGAGGGUUAAGGAUCGGGUGGUUGGUCCUCAUGUUUCUCUAUUAAAUAUUAUCCUACGAACCUGUGAGGCUGUAGAAGAGCCGCUGUCUCUGACUGGUUGAUCCAGUGCAGCCACACCUAGUUGUGAACACCCAUUUUCGCAUAAUAAACACCAGGGUGUGGCGACAGGGUCAUGAAAAAACUCCCAUUCAGAGGAAAGAUGUUUCCUCCCUCUGGUGUACUUUUCUUCUCAGUCUUUCUAGGUAAGUCAGCAUUUAUGUUAUUAACAUCUCCAUAAUUUUAUGGACAAAGAAGAAGAGAGGGAUGUCAUUUACUGGAGUUUCUUUGUUCAUUUCAGUUGCUGCAGGGCAGAUCAUGCUGAUUCAGGACAUAAUAUCGGUGACAAAAAGUGAGGCAAAAAUGGUGUUCAUCCCCUGCAGAGAUUCUGGACUGAACCAGUAUCAUUUCAUCCACUGGUACCAGAAGAGGGAAGGAGAACCACUGAAAAAGCAGCAGCUCUUCACCAAGACAAACUAACAAUGACUAGAGGUGAAGGUAAAACUGCAGCAAUCAGCUGCACAGGAACCACUGGCUGUUACAGGUACCUCCACUGGUACCAGAAAAAAAGAUGUAGAAGAACCGAAGAGGAUCCUUUACGUCGAACUUGAAAGCACGAAAACCUUUAAAGAUGCUGGAUACGAAGACCUUGAAACAGAAAAAACUGAGCCGGACACGUUCUACCUGGUAUUAGCCCGGCUCAGAAGUGGGUUUUCAGCCACUUACUUGUGCGCCUGCUGGGUUCACCACAGUGAUGUUGACUCUGCACAACAGCUGGGGAAACAACCUCCAGUGACACACGAAGGCUGAAUAAAUUGCACAGAUUUAAAAAGGUUACGAGCA